rnacentral:rRNA from 1 species
GACGAACGCUGGCGGCGUGCUUAACACAUGCAAGUCGAACGGUAAGGCCCCAGCUUGCUGGGGUACACGAGUGGCGAACGGGUGAGUAACACGUGGGUGACCUGCCCCGCACUUCGGGAUAAGCCUGGGAAACUGGGUCUAAUACCGGAUAGGACCGCACCGUGAGGGUGUGGUGGAAAGUUUUUCGGUGUGGGAUGGGCCCGCGGCCUAUCAGCUUGUUGGUGGGGUAAUGGCCUACCAAGGCGGCGACGGGUAGCCGGCCUGAGAGGGUGGACGGUCACAUUGGGACUGAGACACGGCCCAGACUCCUACGGGAGGCAGCAGUGGGGAAUAUUGCACAAUGGGCGGAAGCCUGAUGCAGCGACGCCGCGUGGGGGAUGACGGCCUUCGGGUUGUAAACUCCUUUCACCAUCGACGAAGGUUUUCUGACGGUAGAUGGAGAAGAAGCACCGGCUAACUACGUGCCAGCCGCCGCGGUAA